rnacentral:rRNA from 1 species
GACGAACGCUGGCGGCGUGCUUAACACAUGCAAGUCGAGCGGAAAGGCCACUUCGGUGGUACUCGAGCGGCGAACGGGUGAGUAACACGUGAGUAAUCUGUCCCUCACUUUGGGAUAGCCACCGGAAACGGUGAUUAAUACCGGAUAUGACCAUAUGUCGCAUGGCGUGUGGUGGAAAGUUUUUCGGUGAGGGAUGUGCUCGCGGCCUAUCAGCUUGAUGGUGAGGUAAUGGCUCACCAUGGCUUCGACGGGUAGCCGGCCUGAGAGGGUGACCGGUCACACUGGGACUGAGACACGGCCCAGACUCCUACGGGAGGCAGCAGUGGGGAAUAUUGGACAAUGGGCGGAAGCCUGAUCCAGCAACGCCGCGUGAGGGAUGACGGCCUUCGGGUUGUAAACCUCUUUCAGUACCGACGAAGCGCAAGUGACGGUAGGUACAGAAGAAGCACCGGCCAACUACGUG